rnacentral:sRNA from 1 species
GUGUGAAACUGCGAAUGGCUCAUUAAAUCAGUUAUAGUUUAUUUGAUAUAACCUUACUACUUGGAUAUCCGUGGUAAUUCUAGAGCUAAUACAUGCAAUAAAAUCCUGACUUCUGGAAGGGAUGUAUUUAUUAGAUAAAAAACCAAUUGGUGAUUCAUAGUAACUUUUCGAAUCGCAUGACUUUACGUCGGCGAUGGUUCAUUCAAAUUUCUGCCCUAUCAAGUUUCGAUGGUAGGAUAGAGGCCUACCAUGCUUUUAACGGGUAACGGCGAAUUAGGGUUCGAUUCCGGAGAGGGAGCCUGAGAAACGGCUACCACAUCUAAGGAAGGCAGCAGGCGCGCAAAUUACCCAAUCCUGAUUCAGGGAGGUAGUGACAAUAAAUAACAAUCCAGGGCUUUUGUCUUGGAAUUGGAAUGAGAACAAUUUAAAUCUCUUAACGAGGAACAAUUGGAGGGCAAGUCUGGUGCCAGCAGCCGCGGUAAUUCCAGCUCCAAUAGCGUAUAUUAAAGUUGUUGCAGUUAAAUAGCUCGUAGUUGAAUCUUCUGUUACUUUGAAAAAAUUAGAGUGUUUAAAGCGGGCGUAAGCUUGUAUACAUUAGCAUGGAAUAAUAGAAUAGGACUUUGGUUUUAUUUUGUUGGUUUCUAGGGCCGAAGUAAUGAUUAAUAGGGAUAGUUGGGGGCAUUAGUAUUUAAUAGUCAGAGGUGAAAUUCUUGGAUUUAUGAAAGACUAACUUCUGCGAAAGCAUUUGCCAAGGAUGUUUUCAUUAAUCAAGAACGAAAGUCAGGGGAUCGAAGAUGAUCAGAUACCGUCGUAGUCCUGACCGUAAACUAUGCCGACUAGGGAUCGGAUGUGGCGAGUGAAGCGGGAAAAGCUCAAAUUUAAAAUCUCCUAGGUUCCCUAGGCGAAUUGUAGUUUCAAGAAGUGUUUUCUGAGAUAGGCUCGGUCCAAGUCUGCUGGAAGGCAGCGCCAUAGAGGGUGAUAGCCCCGUAGGAUCCUGCUUCUAUUUCUUUAUGAUUCAUCUUCGAAGAGUCGUACAGUUUGAGAAUGCUGUGCUAAAGGGAGGUAAAUAUCUUCUAAAGCUAAAUAUUGGCGAGAGACCGAUAGCGAACAAGUACCGUGAGGGAAAGAUGAAAAGAACUUUGAAAAGAGAGUUAAAUAGUACGUGAAAUUGUCUAAAGUGAAACGUUUGAAACUAGUAUCGGAAGGUGAUGGACAACCGCAAGGUGCAUUCUGUGCCAGCGACAGUUUUGUUUGGAGUAUAGCCUUUGUAUGUGCUCUGGGCGAGACUGAUGAUCGCCACGUGUAGGUCGCUGGUGAAAUAGUUUUAAGCGACCCGUCUUGAAACACGGACCAAGGAGUUCUACAAAUGCGCGAGUCUUUGGGUGUCAAACCCGAGGGCGGAAUGAAAGAAAACGUAGGUGUGAUCCGCAAGGUGCAACAUCGACCGGACUGGAUUUCUUUGAAAGUUCUGAGUAAGAGCGCAUUUGCAGAGACCCGAAAGAUGGUGAACUAUACCUGAGUAGGGUGAAGUCAGAGGAAACUCUGAUGGAAGCUCGUAGCGGUUCUGACGUGCAAAUCGAUCGUCGAACUUGGGUAUAGGGGCGAAAGACUAAUCGAACCAUCGUAG